UCAGCCAUGCCGCGUGAGUGAUGAAGGCCUUAGGGUUGUAAAGCUCUUUCACCGAUGAAGAUAAUGACGGUAGUCGGAGAAGAAGCCCCGGCUAACUUCGUGCCAGCAGCCGCGGUAAUCAGCAGGGGGCUAGCGUUGUUCGGAAUUACUG
rnacentral:rRNA from 1 species